rnacentral:tRNA from 1 species
CCCGGAUAGUUAACAAAUAACACUUAGGUCGUGACCCUAAAAACUAGAGAUGCCCUCUUCCGAGCU